AUUCUCAGGGCGGGGUGAAAUUCCCCACCGGCGGUAUGUUUUACUCAUUAGUUUUUGAAUAAAACGAGCCCGCGAGCGCUUUAUUUAAUAAUCGUUUUUUAAUGUAUUAAAUAAAGGUCAAGCAGAUCUGGUGAGAUGCCAGAGCCGACGGUUAUAGUCCGGAUGAAAGAGAAUA
rnacentral:ncRNA from 1 species